rnacentral:rRNA from 1 species
CAUCGCACGGGAAUACAGAGGGUGCGAGCGUUAAUCGGAUUUACUGGGCGUAAAGCGUGCGUAGGCGGCUUCUUAAGUCGGAUGUGAAAUCCCUGAGCUUAACUUAGGAAUUGCAUUCGAUACUGGGAAGCUAGAGUAUGGGAGAGGAUGGUAGAAUUCCAGGUGUAGCGGUGAAAUGCGUAGAGAUCUGGAGGAAUACCGAUGGCGAAGGCAGCCAUCUGGCCUAAUACUGACGCUGAGGUACGAAAGCAUGGGGAGCAAACAGGAUUAGAUACCCCCGUAGUCCCUGUCUCUUAUACAC